CCCUUAACAGGUUCAGCAGUCCAUUUCUGAAGCCUGUGUCAGAAAGACAGGCCCCAGGGUACAAUGAUGUGGUAAAAAGACCCAUGGACUUAACUAGCCUGAAGAGAAAUCUCUCUAAAGGUCGGAUUCGCACCAUGGCCCAAUUCCAGCGAGACCUGAUGCUGAUGUUCCAAAAUGCUGUAAUGUACAAUGACUCUGAUCAUCACAUAUACCAUAUGGCUGUGGAGAUGCGGCGAGAAGUCCUGGAGCAGAUUCAGGUAGUGUAUGUAGAGAUCUGUAGCCUCUGGAAUCUUGAUUUCAGAUCAAGAUUCUAUGAGAAUAAAGGUGAUUUUGAGGUGA